rnacentral:rRNA from 1 species
UACUAAAGYUGUUGCGGUUAAAAAGCUCGUAGUUGAAAUUGUGUCCUGCGGCGUCGGUCUACCGAUUGCGGUACGACAGGCGCGUCUGCGGGGCUUCUCGCCGGUGCGUGUCAACCGCCGGCGCGUCGCACCGUCGCACCUUCGCGGGUCGGCGGUCGCGGCGCCGUGGCGGGCCCUCGCGGCUGUUUACUUUGAACAAAUUAGAGUGCUCAAAGCGGGCUAAUAUUUGCCUGAAUAUUGUGCGCAUGGAAUAAUAGAAUAGGACCUCGGUUCUGUUUUGUUGGNNNNNNNNNNNNAGAGGUAAUGAUUAAUAGGGACAACUGGGGGCAUUCGUAUUGCGACGUUAGAGGUGAAAUUCUUGGAUCGUCGCAAGACGGACUAAAGCGAAAGCAUUUGCCAAAGGUGUUUUCAUUAAUCAAGAACGAAAGUUAGAGGUUCGAAGGCGAUUAGAUACCGCUGUAGUUCUAACCAUAAAUGAUGCCAGCCAGCGAUCCGCCGAAGUUUUUUUAUUUGAUUCGGUGGGCAGCUCCCGGGAAACCCAAAGCUUUC